GCGAGAGUGGCGGAAGCGGUAGACGCACCCGGCUCAAACCCGGCGGGGCCCAGCAGCCCGUGGGAGUUCGAUCCUCUCCUCUCGCA
rnacentral:tRNA from 1 species